rnacentral:rRNA from 1 species
UUGGAGGGCAAGUCUGGUGCCAGCAGCCGCGGUAAUUCCAGCUCCAAUAGCGUAUAUUAAAGUUGUUGCAGUUAAAAAGCUCGUAGUUGAACUUCGGGGUCUACCCAUUGGUCAGGCUUAAUUGUCUGCACUGGUGAGAUGGAUCUCUACCUUCUGAGGAACUUUCAUGCCAUUUAUUUGGUGUGAUGGGAAAUCAGGACUGUUACUUUGAAAAAAUUAGAGUGUUUAAAGCAGACUAUCGUCUGAAUACAUUAGCAUGGAAUAAUGAAAUAGGACGGACUGAUUCUAUUUCGUUGGUUCCUAGGAUCACCGUAAUGAUUAAUAGGGAUAGUUGGGGGCAUUAGUAUUCAAUUGUCAGAGGUGAAAUUCUUGGAUUUAUUGAAGACUAACUACUGCGAAAGCAUUUGCCAAGGAUGUUUUCAUUAAUCAAGAACGAAAGUUAGGGGAUCGAAGACGAUCAGAUACCGUCGUAGUCUUAACCAUAAACUAUGCCGACUAGGGAUCGGACGAAGUUAAUUUUAUAAUGACGCGUUCGGCGCCUUACGGGAAAC